AGCCUGAUGCAGCGACGCCGCGUGGGGGAUGACGGUCUUCGGAUUGUAAACCCCUUUCAGUAGGGACGAAGCGCAAGUGACGGUACCUGCAGAAGAAGCACCGGCUAACUACGUGCCAGCAGCCGCGGUAAUACGUAGGGUGCGAGCGUUGUCCGGAAUUACUGGGCGUAAAGAGCUCGUAGGCGGUUUGUCACGUCGUCUGUGAAAUCCCUCGGCUUAACCGGGGGCGUGCAGGCGAUACGGGCAGACUUGAGUACUACAGGGGAGACUGGAAUUCCUGGUGUAGCGGUGAAAUGCGCAGAUAUCAGGAGGAACACCGGUGGCGAAGGCGGGUCUCUGGGUAGUAACUGACGCUGAGGAGCGAAAGCAUGGGUAGCGAACAGGAUUAGAUACCCUGGUAGUCCAUGCCGUAAACGGUGGGCGCUAGGUGUGGGGUCCUUCCACGGACUCCGUGCCGUAGCUAACGCAUUAAGCGCCCCGCCUGGGGAGUACGGCCGCAAGGCUAAAACUCAAAG
rnacentral:rRNA from 1 species